rnacentral:misc_RNA from 1 species
CGCGAGACUGGCGGUGGUUCGAGUUGGAAAGAAAUUCUGUUUUUCGCGCGGCCAGACGUUAGAGGGAAGUGGCAGGAAGUGGAGGAUGCGUUUGAGCCUUGAAUUCAAAUGGUACCGGGGCGGUUGGCCGGAAGUGAAUCGUCUUGGAACGUGGAUUUAAAAAGAAAGGGAAAUGGGACACCGGCCGCUCCGAUUUAACUGUACAACAAAUUUUCGAUGGUAGGUACUUUUGUUACCUGACAAUCAAACAACGGAAAAUUGGAAGUAUGUGCCACGAAGCUCUCGAUGAAUGGAAUUGUAUGCCGGAAUUUUCAACGUGUCAAAGGAUAAAAAUCGAAUCCCAGGGAAAUAGCGAGCCCGUUGCAAGAGAAUUGGCCUCAUCGCUCAAUUAAAAGCUCGUAUAGACACGUUCACUAAUUUAGUCGAGUAGCUGGUAGCCUAAAUAACUUAAAUAUAACAUAAAUAAUAGCAUCAUUAUCAUCAUCAUGUUUAUUAUUAUUAUUUGUUAUUAUCGAGUACAACCCUGCUCGACCAAAAAAUCUAAUAAUUUGGAUUCCACCGAUCAAACACUUUUAUUAAGCUACUCUACCAAACUUUGAUGUUCACACGCGGCAAACUACUAAAUCACUCGCCAUUCGAAUAAAAUACUCUGCCUGUCCUUUACUCGAACGACGACGUGAAUUUUAUGAGACCUCCCACAUGCAGCGAUCCUCCUAGUGAAUUUUUAUCCGUAAUCGUUCACGCAGUACGGAUGUGGCGGUGUGCAUUUAGUUCGUCCCUUCCGUAAAUUUACGUCAACAUCCUCCAGACCAUGCGAAAUCUCUCCAUUGACGUCUCCAGAAUGAACGAGCUCGCCUUUCGUCAGCGUGAAUACCCUCCAUGCGCUAUUAAUUAAGGCCAACCCUCCUUCAACGAUUUUUAUUCAUGUUUCUGAAACUCUCCUUUGGAACGUCGAUCCCUCGUGACGAACUUUUUAAUGGUGAUGAAUUUCCAGAUUCUUCCUUGAGCUGUUUGAUGAAUUAUUUGAUAGAUGUGAUUAUUUGAUGAAAUAUUGGCUAAAUGACAAAAUGAAGUUGGAUGGACUCUUUAGUACCGUGUAAAAUUAAAUUCUAUUAA